rnacentral:lncRNA from 1 species
GAUCAUUUACUUGCUUAACCAUAUGAUUAUGAUAAUAUAAGUGUGCGAUAAAUAUGUUAUUUUCGUAAUAUUAUAUUUAUAUAAAUUUGUCUUUAUUAUAUCUAAUUAAAAUAUGUUUUAAAUAAUUUUAAUAAGGAAUAGGAAAUAAAAAUUGAUUAUUUAAUAAGAAUAAAAAUUUUCUUAGUACAAAUAACCUUAUAUACAGAAAACAUCACAAACACUAUGAGUAUAAAGAAAACUAAGUAAAUGAAAGAUUUCCUAUAAAUUAUACAUUUGUAAAACUUUAAUAAAAGAAAUUUGUCAAGUAAUAUAAGAAUUUCUUAACAAGAAAUUUUUAUAUUAAAAUUCAGUUUGAUGUUAAAGAUUAAUUAAAAUAUAAAAUAAAUACUUUUCGUGUGUUAAAAUUAUAAUAAUAAUAAAAUCAAAAUAAUAAUCAAUAAAAAAAAUGUUCAAAUUUUUGAUAACCUUAGGCAUUGGAAUUUAUGCUGGUAUAUAUAUAAGUCAGAACUAUGAGAUACCACGUGUAGAUGAUCCUAAUAAGAUAAUAGAACGAAUAAAAGAAUUUGUAGAUGAAUAUAAAAAAAAAUAAUAAUAAUUUAUUAAA